rnacentral:rRNA from 1 species
UGAGGAAUAUUGGUCAAUGGGCGAGAGCCUGAACCAGCCAAGUCGCGUGAAGGAUGAAGGUUUUAUGAAUUGUAAACUUCUUUUGCAGGGGAAUAAAGUGCACCACGUGUGGUGUUUUGUAUGUACUCUGCGAAUAAGGAUCGGCUAACUCCGUGCCAGCAGCCGCGGUAAUACGGAGGAUCCAAGCGUUAUCCGGAUUUAUUGGGUUUAAAGGGUGCGCAGGCGGACUUAUAAGUCAGCGGUGAAAGUUUGCAGCUUAACUGUAAAAUUGCCGUUGAAACUGUGAGUCUUGGGUGCAAAUGAGGUAAGCGGAAUGUGUUGUGUAGCGGUGAAAUGCUUAGAUAUAACACAGAACACCAAUUGCGAAGGCAGCUUACUGUGAUGCAACUGACGCUGAGGCACGAAAGCGUGGGGAUCAAACA